AAUUUUAUCUGCAGCUAGGCUAAAGAGUGAUGAAACUAUAGCCACUUGUCAUGAGUGAUGGCGAAUCAUUUACAGUCGCAACUCUCAUGAAGGUGACACAUCAGAAGCCAAAUCAGAAGCAUUCUCCCCAAAAAAGAGCAUUGGGCGAGGUUCCACUGGUGCAUUGUCAGAAUAGAUUCUAAAGCCACAAGCACACGUCUUACUCAUCUGAUCCAUGUGGUUUAGCCAUGUGAAUGCUUGCUAACAUUCUAUCUACACAAACAAUUGGUACUUGCAAGUUCACACCAGACUAUAACUAUUCAAAACAAAGUGCUGCUGCAAAUUAAAUACAUGUGUGCUUCAGCAAUA